rnacentral:tmRNA from 1 species
GGGGAUGUCAGGCUUCGAUGGAUGGAUUAGUUAUUUCUCAUAUGCAUGCCGAGGUUGUUCGUAUUCCUCGUAAAUAUAAAUGAACACCUGAUCAAGUGCAAACUUAGUCAAUCGAGUGAAAAAUGCUUUUAGCAUUCCAACAUUCGCACCCGUUGUCGCUUAAUAAGCGUACAACCAUCACUCUGAUGAUACUCGCUAAUCAAUCAGUGGUGUCAACCAAGCGAGCGUAGAUUCAAAUUUUCACCUGAGAAUCUGAAUUGAAGUCAUAUCAGGCUUAACUUUUUAUCAUUUUGUCGCUUUUGUAGGUGAAAAGUGAAGCAAUAAAACGACUAAGCAUGUAGAUUAUGAAAGUAACCCGUUCACACGUGGGUUCGAUUCCCACCAUCUCCACGA